rnacentral:lncRNA from 1 species
GAGAUCGGAGGUCAACUUGUUUACUUCUGCUAUAUGUACAGGUAGCGUACGGGAGUGCGUUACCAACGCUGGCAGGGCAGAGCAGUCAUGACAUGGACAUUCCAACAGGCUACGCCAGCGUCUGCGUCGAGCAAAUAGUAGAUGCCCAGUAUGAAGGUCUAGAGCUCGACUUCCCGGGAGGCGACGGGGAAAAGACAUUGGCAGAUGCGCUUCAUGGGAUCAUUCUA